CUGCCCCCACCUUUCCGCAGGAGCCACUUCUGUCCUGCACAGGUCUGCUCGGCUGGCUGUGCUUUUAUACAGUAAGUGCUUCUCGUCUCUUGUUCCCUAUCGUCAAGCUGAAGGGACAAAAGAACCUCCCAAGACUUGAAAUUUCCUUCCUUGCUCUCAUGCGCUUAACUCUCUAGCCAUCUCUUUGUUCUGCGUUAUCUUAUGACAAAAGACAGUUUAUUAUUUUGAAUCAAAUGCAAAGCUGAGCCCUGCUCUCUGAAGGCACAGACACUCAUACUUACAGGCUUGCAAAGUGCCGUUCCUGCUCCUUGGACGGUGCCUUUUGGAGAGAAACGCCUGCACCGCUGCAUUCUACCACGUUGGUAAGCAAGCUCCGGGUAGCUGGCUUUUCCAGAGCAACUGCAGAAUACCUGCCUUCCCACACCUUCUCUAGACAGGAGCAACCACACCGAACACAGUUAUGGCACAUACAGUGGGAUGCAGGCGAAGGGACAGGAUGACCUGCAUCCCCACUAGGUAAUCACAGAGCAAGGUCCCCAGGGACUUGUCUGUGAUGGCUGCCUUGAGAGUGAGAAACAGCCAAGCGUCCCCAGCCCUGCAGACCCGUCUCCACCACUCAGCAAGGCAAGGAUGUCUUGAAGAGCUGGCUCUCCGCAGCCUCUCUGGAUGAUGUGGUCCUUCCAGAGGGGUCUGAGUACCCAGGUCCUUGACAUCUCCCAAGUCUGUGAUUCAAGGAUGCUGAAGGCCUUUGGCUGGGCGACAACCCAGUGUGCAGAGGCCGGGGUUGGCAUGCAUCCCUACCCUCUGAGAAAACGAUCCCCAGACGAUCCAUGUGCUUCUCUUGUCCUUCAUUCCACCGGAGUCUGUCUCAUACCCAACCAGAUUUCAGUGGAGUGAAGUUCAGGAGGCAUGGAGCUGACAACGAUGGUGCUACUGCAGCAGCAGUGGCAGCAAGAGCAACUCUGACUUAGAAACAGAAACACCCAGGGAGGAACGUGGUCAGUGAAGGAGACAUCUGGCGUGCACAUCCUCCUGCAGAGGGGACAGGCGAUGGGCACAUUGGAACAAGCAUCACACAUGGGAACCACUCUGUCUCGCUUUUCUAAAAUCAAUGCUAUGAAAAUGUGCAUUUUGUGUAACUUGUAAAAAUUAAAAUUUACCUGUCUACUGAAAA